GGGUUGUGAGGUUAAGCGACUAAGCGUACACGGUGGAUGCCCUGGCAGUCAGAGGCGAUGAAGGGCGUGCUAAUCUGCGAUAAGCGCCGGUAAGGUGAUAUGAACCGUUAUAACCGGCGAUACCCGAAUGGGGAAACCCAGUGUGACUCGUCACACUAUCAUUAACUGAAUCCAUAGGUUAAUGAGGCGAACCGGGGGAACUGAAACAUCUAAGUACCCCGAGGAAAAGAAAUCAACCGAGAUUCCCCCAGUAGCGGCGAGCGAACGGGGAGGAGCCCAGAGCCUGAAUCAGCAUGUGUGUUAGUGGAAGCGUCUGGAAAGGCGCGCGAUACAGGGUGACAGCCCCGUACACAAAAGCGCAUGUGCUGUGAGCUCGAUGAGUAGGGCGGGACACGUGGUAUCCUGUCUGAAUAUGGGGG
rnacentral:rRNA from 1 species